UACGAAGGGGGCUAGCGUUGCUCGGAAUCACUGGGCGUAAAGCGCACGUAGGCGGUUUCUUAAGUCAGGGGUGAAAUCCUGGAGCUCAACUCCAGAACUGCCUUUGAUACUGGAGAUCUGAGUCCGGGAGAGGUGAGUGGAACUGCGAGUGUAGAGGUGAAAUUCGUAGAUAUUCGCAAGAACACCAGUGGCGAAGGCGGCUCACUGGCCCGGUACUGGACGCU
rnacentral:rRNA from 1 species